UGAUCACCUAUGACAUUCAUGUAGUAUAUCGAAACCAAAGAUCAUAUAACCAUAAUCCAACAUAUAUAUUCUAAGAUUAUAAAAGUAUCUAUAGAACAUUUCAAAAGGUAUACAUAUACAAUAAAAGAUCCCCAAAAUAUAAUACAGUCGAAGUCUACAAAAUAACCCAAUAGGUCGUUAUCCAUGGACAUCAAACUUUGAAAUCCUGUAAGAGCUUCACAACUAGCCAUGAACUCUAUGAAGUUCCAUGUUCACCUACAAUGCGAGAAUUACAUAAUCUAAUAUUCAGUAAGCAAAAAACAUGUAUGUCAUGAGUAUGAUUAGCAAUUAGCAAUAGUCUAUGACACCAUGCUAUUUACUUUAAACAUCUCGCUAAAGAUGCAUCAUAUUCAAAUGUUCGGAAAUCACAUACUCAAUGAUCAUAACUAUCAUAUGAUGUACAGUGAGCUCCUCAUCAAAGUUAUGCAAAUAUUAUAACAUAAAUACUAUGUUCUUGCAUCGUAGUUGCGAAUCAAUUUUUACUUACCUUUCGCCCUUGUGUGUGCACUUCUACGGAGUGUAGAUCAAUUUUCUUUUUCACUUAAAGUCGAAAAACCACUUGUAUUACCAUUUAAUAUUAAACACAAUCCUCAAUUUAAUAACCUUAACACACACACACAAUCUCGUGGUAAGUUCAUUCAUGCCAAAAUAAUUUAGACUACAUUAUCAUUUCAAGUUACUGAUUGCAUUGCAAACUAGUCCCAUAAAUCUCACUAUUUCUCGAGUCCAAUUAUGAAUUCUCAAUGUCAUCCAAUUGUUAUUAACAACCUAGCACUCAUUAAAAUAUAUUUUCCAGGCCUAAAAGAUGAUUAGUGCACAUGUAAAAGUCGAAACUAUAAAAACUACCAAAAAAGACAGAAUCUGCUUUUGAGUUUUAGUUGCUGCCAUGUCCAGUUUCACCCAUCUUUUCACACCCUUAAUCAUUUUUAUGAUAACAAUCCAAAUUUUAAGAUUUAAAUCAUUCCUAAAAGUUUCAUUUAAUAAUUUAAAUAAACAUAUUGAACAUCACAACAUGAAUUUUUUGGUUCCACUAAUAAUAAAUAAAACAUAUAGAAAGCAUAACCAAAUAAAAUAUGUUCCAAAUCUUAAAUAACAAAAUUCACAUGAUAAUAAAACCAAAAUAAUGUUGAAAAUAAAAUCCAUAGUCACGUUACUCUGGAUUAUUUUUAUUGAGAUCCAUAAAUUUUGGCACCAUGACUGCACCUCAUCACACGCAAAUCAAUGACUCAUUAUAACCUGUAAAGAGUGGGGGGAAAAGGAUGAGUAUAUGAUAAUACUUAGUAGAACACUAAAAUAAUAAUGCAAUCCCGAAUAAAAAUAUUCAAAACAUGUGUCAAAAAUAUCAUACCGACAUUAUAUCUUUAGAAAUUGGUGAAAGCUCAAUACAUGUCAUAUCUUUGGUAUCAGAUGGUCAUAUCAUACACAUCAUAUCAUAUUUUUAACUUUUAUAAGUACAAUAAUUUGACAACAUGAAAAAAUAAUUUAAAUGGGAUAAGAACAAUUGCACCUCAUUAUCUUACCUCGUUAGAUCAAACAAAUUUUUGAAAAAACAAAACCAAAAUCACGUUUCAACUUUAUUUUCAGCCCGUUGUUGUGUUUAUAAAAAUUAUAUAGUAUGGUGAAAGGAAA
rnacentral:lncRNA from 1 species